GCCCCCGUAGCUCAGUGGAUAGAGCAUCCCCCUCCUAAGGGGAGGGCCACACGUUCGAUUCGUGUCGGGGGCGCCA
rnacentral:tRNA from 1 species